UUAAGCUAAUAAGAGCGCAGGGUGGAUGCCUUGGCACUAAGAGCCGAAGAAAGACGUGAUAAGCUGCGAAAAGCUGCGGGGAGGAGCAAAUGUCCAUUGAUCCGCAGAUGUCUGAAUGGGGAAACCCGUCUGGAAGAACUCCAGUCACUGCAUGGUGAAUACAUAGGCAUGCAGGGGGAACCCGGUGAACUGAAACAUCUAAGUAGCCGGAGGAAAAGAAAGAAAAAUCGAUUUCCAAAGUAGCGGCGAGCGAAAUGGAAGGAGCCCAAACCGGGAUGCGUGCAUUCCGGGGUUAUGGACCGCAAUAAGUGACCCGUAAGAUAGAAGAAUGGCAUUGGGAAAGCCAGCCACAGAGGGUGAAAGCCCCGUAUUCGAAAUCAGAAGGGAGCGAGCGGAAUCCGAAGUACUACGAGACACGUGGAACCUUGUAGGAAAUCGGGGGGACCACCCCCCAAGGCUAAAUACUCCUUAGUGACCGAUAGCGCAUAGUACUGUGAAGGAACGGUGAAAAGAACCCCGGGAGGGGAGUGAAAGAGAACCUGAAACCCUGUGUUUACAAGCUGUGGAAGAGCUUUACAUGCUCAACCGCGUACUUUUUGUAGAACGGUCCGGCGAGUUACUCUUACUGGCAAGGUUAAGCACCAAAGGUGUGGAGCCGAAGGGAAACCAAGUCUUAACAGGGCGAGUUAGUCAGUGUGAGUAGACCCGAAACCGGGUGACCUACCCAUGUCCAGGAUGAAGUUGCCGUAAAAGGCAAUGGAGGUCCGAACACACAUCCGUUGAAAAGGGUGGUGAUGAGGUGUGGGUAGCGGAGAAAUUCCAAUCGAACCCGGAGAUAGCUGGUUCUCCUCGAAAUAGCUUUAGGGCUAGCCUCAAUUUAGUCUUGCGGAGGUAGAGCACUGAAUAUCCUAGGGGGCGUCAAAGCUUACCGAAGAUUAUCAAACUCCGAAUGCCGUAAAGAUGAUGAUUGGGAGUCAGACUGCACGAGAUAAGUUGGGUAGUCAAAAGGGAAACAGCCCAGACCUCCAGCUAAGGUCCCAAAGUGAGUGUUAAGUGGAAAAGGAUGUGGGAUUUCGAAGACAACUAGGAUGUUGGCUCAGAAGCAGCCAUUCAUUCAAAGAGUGCGUAAUAGCUCACUAGUCGAGAGGUCCUGCGCCGAAAAUGUCCGGGGCUAAACACUACACCGAAGCUGAGGAAUGACAAUGUCAUUGGUAGAGGAGCAUUCUUAACUGCGACGAAGCUGUACCGAAAGGAGCAGUGGAGUGUUAAGAAGAGAGAAUGCCGGAAUGAGUAGCGAGAGUGAGGUGAGAAUCCUCACGGCCGAAUAUCUAAGGUUUCCAGGGUAAAGCUGAUCUGCCCUGGGUAAGUCGGGACCUAAGGCGAGGUCGAAAGACGUAGUCGAUGGACAACAGGUUGAAAUUCCUGUACUGCAAUGUAUCAGAAAUGUGGGGACACAGACAGAGAGCCGGAGCCGGGAAUGGAGAAACCGGUGCAAGCGAGGUAGGAGAACAGCAGGCAAAUCCGCUGUUCAAUUUGAAGACGUGACGCGGAGCGAAAUUAAAGUAGCGAAGCCGGUGAGCUGGCUGUCAGGAAAAGCCGCUAUUGUGUACAUUGUACCCGUACCGUAAACCGACACAGGUGGAUGAGGAGAGAAUCCUAAGGCCGACGGAAGAAGCAUUGUUAAGGAACUCGGCAAAAUGGCCCCGUAACUUCGGGAUAAGGGGUGCCUACGAAGGUAGGCCGCAGAGAAUUGGCCCAAGCAACUGUUUAGCAAAAACACAGGUCUAUGCGAAACCGUAAGGUGAUGUAUAUGGGCUGACGCCUGCCCGGUGCUGGAAGGUUAAGGGGAGAGGUUAGACAUAAGUCGAAGCUUUGAAUUUAAGCCCCAGUAAACGGCGGCCGUAACUAUAACGGUCCUAAGGUAGCGAAAUUCCUUGUCGGGUAAGUUCCGACCCGCACGAAAGGCGUAAUGAUUUGAG
rnacentral:rRNA from 1 species